rnacentral:rRNA from 1 species
CCCAGCCCACCCCAACAGUCCUGGUCUCAUGUCAUCUCAGAAACUACACAGAGCCAGUCCUGGUUAGUGCGGGGAUGGGAGAGCGCCCGGGAAUACCAGGUUAUGGCUGGUC